UUAGCGGAUUUCUUCCGAUAAACUUGAUUGUUAUUUGAGAAAUGAAGACUGCUUAGCUCUUGCAGAUAAAAGGUAAAGCUACCUCAUCAAAGCAUUUCUACAGUUUUAGUACUUCUACAAUUUAUACAUUUAUUUUCUUCUUGUUAAACUAAUUCCAGCAGUGUUUGUAUCUUUGGUUCCUUAUGACCGAUUAUCUUAAAAAAAAGAAGGUGAAUUUCCCUUCUAAACUUUCUGAUUGUUUACUUAUAUGCUGCUGUUCAUGUCUGAGGCAUACUGCAGGGUUUACCGGCAACUGACAGAGAUGGUAAAAGUGAUUUUUCGGAUUGCAGAGAGAGGAUUAACAGAAUUGCAGAUUCGGGCCAUCCAGCCCCUACUCAUCAAAGCUGAAGAAAUGAAUUCAUGUAAAUCUGCAUGAGUCUUCCCUUGUCGAUGAACACUAAUACCUUUUUUUUUAACUCGGUGUUCAAAGGAAACCGAGUCGAAUUUGAUAGCAGCAACACCAUUUAAGUACGCACACACCUGCAUGCGUGCAUGUGCAUUAAAAGGAAGAAAGUGUACUACAAUGGAAAAAAACUCCCGACUCAGUCGGUGCCUCACUCUUCUCUUUCUGUUCUUGUAAAGAAGUUACAGAUGCUGAAAUCCGAAUUUAUGUCAAUUCGAUGAAAACACUCGACUUCUUCACAUUAUGUAAAGAAGGAAAGUGUUUUCAACGAAUUUCAUUUAUGUACGGGCAUUGUUAUUAGCAUUUUACUUAUCUAAGGUAUUUUUUUUAAUCUCAACUU